CCUACGGGGUGCAGCAGUGGGGAAUAUUGGACAAUGGGCGAAAGCCUGAUCCAGCCAUGCCGCGUGUGUGAAGAAGGCCUUCGGGUUGUAAAGCACUUUCAGUGGGGAAGAAAGCCUUGGGGCUAAUACCCUCGAGGAAGGACAUCACCCACAGAAGAAGCACCGGCUAACUCCGUGCCAGCAGCCGCGGUAAUACGGAGGGUGCGAGCGUUAAUCGGAAUUACUGGGCGUAAAGCGUGCGUAGGCGGUCUGAUAAGCCGGUUGUGAAAGCCCCGGGCUCAACCUGGGAACGGCAUCCGGAACUGUCAGGCUAGAGUGCAGGAGAGGAAGGUAGAAUUCCCGGUGUAGCGGUGAAAUGCGUAGAGAUCGGGAGGAAUACCAGUGGCGAAGGCGGCCUUCUGGACUGACACUGACGCUGAGGUGCGAAAGCGUGGGUAGCAAACAGGAUUAGAUACCCUAGUAGUC
rnacentral:rRNA from 1 species